ensembl:lincRNA Halr1 Hoxa adjacent long noncoding RNA 1
GGGAGACCGUGGGCGGAGGUGAUACAACCUGACUGAUGAUGGCUGACAAAAGAAGAAGAAAGUAGCUGAGAACCAGCAGCUGAAGAAAGCAAGAUAAUAUGAGUGAAGUCACAAAUGUCACCAAGGAAAGGAAGAACAGAAAAAUAACUUGAAUAUUCAAGAUGGGCAGCCUAGUUCAACGACACAUCAAGCCUUGUGAAAAGGUGACUCCGAGGUUCGGAUGCUGCCCAAGCCAACCCUAGUUUACCAGGUUCCAGGAAUGACAUGAAUUCCAGAUCCUUCUGCCCCCAUCAUCUGAGUGCUGGGUUACGGUUGUGUGGCCAUACCUGCCUCUCACCUGGGUCUUUGAAACAAAAGAGGGAAGAAAGAAAGAAAGAAAGAAAGAAAGAA